AUUGAACGCUGGCGGCAGGCCUAACACAUGCAAGUCGAGCGGUAACAUUUCUAGCUUGCUAGAAGAUGACGAGCGGCGGACGGGUGAGUAAUGCUUGGGAACAUGCCUUGAGGUGGGGGACAACAGUUGGAAACGACUGCUAAUACCGCAUAAUGUCUACGGACCAAAAGGGGCUUCGGCUCUCGCCUUUAGAUUGGCCCAAGUGGGAUUAGCUAGCUGGUGAGGUAAUGGCUCACCAAGGCGACGAUCCCUAGCUGGUUUGAGAGGAUGAUCAGCCACACUGGGACUGAGACACGGCCCAGACUCCUACGGGAGGCAGCAGUGGGGAAUAUUGCACAAUGGGCGCAAGCCUGAUGCAGCCAUGCCGCGUGUGUGAAGAAGGCCUUCGGGUUGUAAAGCACUUUCAGCGAGGAGGAAAGGGUGACGUUUAAUACGCGUUAUCUGUGACGUUACUCGCAGAAGAAGCACCGGCUAACUCCGU
rnacentral:rRNA from 1 species